UGCCCACCAUGACAUCGUUGCUGAAUUUUGGGGCUAAAGUUCAUAUUGAACUUACGAAUUAGUUUGGGAAUCUGCCCCUCUUAGAUCCAACGAUUUCGUUGUGCUUAUAUCAUUCCAGCCACAAAUUUGGACAGGUGGUGUUCAACAUAGUUUUGGUCAACUAAUUCAGGCAAAUAUUGAGGUUGGGUCUCAUAUUUUGGUUCAGGAAUUUUUCAAUCUACAAUGGCUGCGAGUCAGAUUCAAAGACCUUGAAGGAGGAGCAAAGGGUGGGAGGUUGACACUUUAAAUAGCUAUUUGAAAGUCUGAAGGAGUAGCUCCAUUGGGUGGGAUGUUGAUGUCAUACGCCCAAAAGUGUAAUCUACAAAAAUGUUAAAAAGGUAGGCUUCGGUAUGCUAUAAACUUCAAAUCUCAACCUGUUUCAGUCGACAAAAAAUCUUAUUGACUUCAUGACAAAAAUCAAUCUGAAUGGAAUAUCUCACAA